rnacentral:rRNA from 1 species
ACGAAGGUUGCAAGCGUUGUUCGGAAUCACUGGGCUUAAAGCGUAUGUAGGCGGAUCAGAAAGUAGUUUGUGAAAUCCCUCGGCUUAACCGGGGAAUUGCUUGCUAAACUACUGAUCUUGAGGCAAGCAGGGGUGCAUGGAACUCUUGGUGGAGCGGUGGAAUGCGUAGAUAUCAAGAGGAACGCCAGCGGUGAAAACGGUGCACUGGGCUUGUCCUGACGCUGAGAUACGAAAGCGUGGGGAGCAAAAGG